AACACAUGCAAGUCGAGCGGUAGAGAGAAGCUUGCUUCUCUUGAGAGCGGCGGACGGGUGAGUAAUGCCUAGGAAUCUGCCUAGUGGUGGGGGAUAACGUUCGGAAACGGACGCUAAUACCGCAUACGUCCUACGGGAGAAAGCGGGGGACCUUCGGGCCUCGCGCCAUUAGAUGAGCCUAGGUCGGAUUAGCUAGUUGGUGAGGUAAUGGCUCACCAAGGCUACGAUCCGUAACUGGUCUGAGAGGAUGAUCAGUCACACUGGAACUGAGACACGGUCCAGACUCCUACGGGAGGCAGCAGUGGGGAAUAUUGGACAAUGGGCGAAAGCCUGAUCCAGCCAUGCCGCGUGUGUGAAGAAGGUCUUCGGAUUGUAAAGCACUUUAAGUUGGGAGGAAGGGUAGUAACUUAAUACGUUGCUACUUUGACGUUACCGACAGAAUAAGCACCGGCUAACUUCGUGCCAGCAGCCGCGGUAAUACGAAGGGUGCAAGCGUUAAUCGGAAUUACUGGGCGUAAAGCGCGCGUAGGUGGUUCAGUAAGUUGAAUGUGAAAUCCCCGGGCUCAACCUGGGAACUGCAUCCAAAACUGCUGAACUAGAGUACGGUAGAGGG
rnacentral:rRNA from 1 species